GACGAACGCUGGCGGCGUGCUUAACACAUGCAAGUCGAACGGCAAGGCCCUGCUUUUGUGGGGUGCUCGAGUGGCGAACGGGUGAGUAACACGUGAGUAACCUGCCCUUGUCUUUGGGAUAACUUCAGGAAACUGGGGCUACUCUAGGAUCGGAGCUCCCGCUGCAUGGUGGGGGUUGGAUCGUUUCGGCGGUUGGGGAUGGACUCGCGGCUUAUCAGCUUGCUGGUGGGGUAGUGGCUUACCAAGGAUUUGACGGGUAGCCGGCCUGAGAGGGUGACCGGCCUCAAUGGUCCUGAGAUACGGCCCAGACUCCUACAGUAGGCAGCAGGGGGGAAUAUGGCACAGUGGGCGGAAGCCGGAUACGGCGACGCCGCGUGCGGAAUGACGGCCUGCUGGUUGUGAACCGCUGUCGCCUGAUACGAAGCGGGAGUGACGGUAAUGGGUAAAGAAGCACCGGCUAACUACGUG
rnacentral:rRNA from 1 species